GUUACUCUUUCUCAUUUGGUUUAGGCAUUUUUUCUUGGAGAACAAAGAAGUAGGAUAUUGCAGCUCAAUCAUCUCUAGAAAUCAAGUAUGCAGCUGAACCAAAUGAUACGGAAAAGAAAAUGAAAGCCACAAAACAAACACUAAAUCAGUCCACUAGUUUGAAGAACUCGUGGACUUAUUUGGUGACCGCUCUCGGAUUCACUACAACAAUAAGAAGAACGAAAUAUAAGGGUGUGUUUCAACCCCAAAACAGCCACCAAACUAGAUUUAACAAAAAGAAGAUGAAGAACAAGAUGAUCUUAACAAUAGGAAUAACAACAACAACACAAACGAGUACAAUACGAG
rnacentral:lncRNA from 1 species